rnacentral:rRNA from 1 species
GCGUGAGUGAAGAAGGCCCUAGGGUUGUAAAACUCUUUCAACGGUGAAGAUGAUGACGGUAACCGUAGAAGAAGCACCGGCUAACUUCGUGCCAGCAGCCGCGGUAAUACGAAGGGUGCUAGCGUUGUUCGGAAUUACUGGGCGUAAAGAGCAUGUAGGCGGAUAGAUCAGUCAGAGGUGAAAGCCCCGAGCUCAACUUGGGAACUGCCUUUGAUACUGUUUAUCUUGAGUCCGAGAGAGGUUAGUGGAAUUCCCAGUGUAGAGGUGAAAUUCGU